UCUUAGUUUUUCCCAACACUCCACUAAGACCACCCACACCCCCAACCCCAACCGCAAAUAAAAGCAAAAUCCCUCAUGUUAUCUCUGUUGUGCUUUCCCCAACCGACCAUCCGCAACCCUCAAAUAAAAGAAAGAAACACCCUUAUUUUCUAUACAAAAUUUACAGUUACUGAGCACGGAGCAACUCCACGAAGAACCGCAAACGAUUCUGGAAUCCUCACUGCGACUAAUCUUCCGUUUCCAUUGAAGUGGUCUUAUGGUUUCGUUCUCCUUCUCAUCAAGUUAAGUUUUCUGCCAAGUAUCUAAACUUCUAGUUGUAACUGUUGUAGAAUUGAGAAUUCCUUUAUUGUUCCAGUUAUUUCUCUUGGUAUUUAUCAAAUAUAUUGGUUUUUUUCUUAGAAUUGCAUAUUUGCUUAUAUAAUUACAUCCAGCUUUUUAGAGCAUUACGAUUAAUGUGCAGCAGUCGCUUAUUUUUUUCCUCUGGCUUAUUGUGCGCCUUUUUUGAUGAUAUAACUAUGGAAAGAGUUAAUGGUAUUAUUUGAUUAAUAUUUUUAGUUAAUUAAACUUAAUAAUUGGGGUUUACCAAAGAUGUUUUUGCUCGCAGUUUCACUAAUAAUUUCACUAUAUUUAUCCCUUAAAUGGGACAAAUCGUUAUGGAGUUUGGGGAUACUAACACCUUCCUAAUACAUAGAGGUUCAUAUUGUUAGUAAAGAUGCUACUCAGUAUAAUAUAAAUUUGCUUAAAUAUCUGUGACUUUUAAGGUGUGUCUCUUGAUACUUAAUGUUAUUAGCAAGGCGGCUAUUAUGUGCCCAAUAAAUAGUUGUACUGAUGGAGGUAUCUGAAAGGAGAGGUAUGUGAUCCCUACUUGGUAAAAGAUGAAAGGAUUAUUAGAUAGAAAAGGAGAAGUUACGAUCCAACUUUAAUUGCGAAAUUUGAUCUCUUAUAUUUAAUGCCAAAAAGUCCCUUCCCUUUGCCAAAUCCCCAAUUGCAGGUAAUCGAUUAAGAUGUUUUGCUGGCCUCGUCAGCAAGUUGCAUUCUGGAAAGUCAUAGCACCUUCGCUAGGUAAUCAGUCAACCUUGCUGUAAAGGAAAAUCCUUUGAUUGAUAAAGUAUGAACAGGUAUGUGAGUGUUAAUGUGGUUUAUCUUCCGUGAUUGAACUCCUAAUUGUUUUUCAUCUGUGCUCGCCAUUUAAUUUUUGACACUAGAAUUGUGGUUCAGAUGAUCCACGAAAAUGUAAAAAUGUUUAAUCCCCACAAAUGCACCUCCUUUAUUUCUAUUAAUAUCAGAGUUGUCUACGUCAAUUUAUAAUCUAAUGGUGGAACCAUACGUUUUUACUUUGAAGAGUUUUCUUUAAGUUUUUGGAUAACAAUGGUUUGGUGCAUUUUCUUUUCAAUUAGACAAUACUCAAGUUUGCUAUUCCCUUAUCGUGGUAAAAUAAGGCAUUUUCAAUUUUCACUAUAUAUGCAGUACACUAAGAUAUCAUCAUUUGUUAACAUAGAAAUGCUUAUACGUGGAAAAUGUUAACUUUGAUUGGGCGCCGACACGUUUUAUCAGUUGGUGGUAGCAUUCAGAAAAUCUUUCCACCUACGAGCAACAGGAUUCUCUUGAAGGUCUGCAUUUCAAUAUUGGACAGGAUUCAUGACAAAGAGGGGAGAUCAAGUUUGUCAACCAAAGGUACUUUUUGCUGAGAAUGGCUCUUAUUAUUCUUGUCUAUGCAGGACCUUUUCUGAGGUUUGUUGCUUCGGUAAUGGCUCAUCUUAGAGUAUUGGAAUUUCCAUUUCUAAAAUGUUUUGUGAGAUUCUAGUGUUUGGGUUUAUUCUAACCAAAAGCGGGUUCAUGUCGUGCUUUUCUGUUUUCUUUUGGUACAUCUAGUCGCUCUCACCUUAUGACUCAGAGUCCCACGUUGUUGACAUUGAUAAUUUUGACGAUGAACUUGAGGAAGCUAACACCACUCCUUUUUGGAGAGGGGGUUUGGCAUAUACAAGGUAUUCAAUUAUGUGAAGAAUAUGUAACUAAAUGACAAUGGUUCUUGUCUCCCACAUAACCUAUCAAGUAAGAAAAAACUGUCAAAUGACUUAGUAUAAUCUUUCUUAAAUCAAGCUUUAUCAAAAGCAAAACUGGAAUAGCUCAUUCUUCAUUCACAUUGGUGCUAAACUAGCUUAAUGGCCCAUUAUUAAGUCAGUCUCCUUGCCACAAUUAAAUGUACCUUUUUUUAUGUCAGUCUCCUUGCUAAAAGCAGUCAGUUUUGGGCAGCACCUCUUAAAUAACAGAGCAAUCAUUUAUAUUUUUUCAAAACUGAAACAUUUGUUGUGGUUUGGUUCUAUUGUACUUGGGGCUGCUGGAAGCUUAGCCUUGUUUAGGACCUGUUUCUUUUUGUUUGUCUAAGCAAACAAUUUUAUUUGCCUAACAUUAGUUUUAGACUAGUCAAACAAUGCAGAGACUAGCUGAUAAUGAAUUAAUCCUACCUUGAAAAAGCUAGUAGAAAAGUCCAUUUCUCCAACACCAAUUUACCAUCAGUUUCUGAGUUUCUAAACUUCAAGAGAUUCGUUGAGAUUUUCUAUCAUUUGUAUUCAUUGUUAAACUUGCAAAUAAUACCUGUAUUAGUUUGUUUAUCAUGUCCUUUAGCUUGAGGAAUUCCUUGCUUUAUUUUUUCCAAACAUAUAGGUUAAAAGUAUAAUGUGAGGAAUUAAGAGAUCAUUUAGGUCCCGACUCUUUUCUGUUAACAUCUUCUUGGUGUCAAUGAUGUGGAAUACAACAUAAUUAACUUUUUACUAUUCCAUUUCCCUAUACAACUUAAAACUGUUAAAAGCUAAAUUCGAUCUAGCUUUGUCUAAAUUAUAGUAAUCAUUUGCUCCUCGUGUCUCUUGAUUCACUUUCUAUUCCCGAAAAGUCAAAAACUAAGUGAUAAAGGUUUUGUGAAAUCUUCUAAGAUGUUAAUGGGUAAAAGGAUUGGGAUUGGUUGAAUAUAUUUUCCUCACUUUCUAUUAAUGUUCUAUUUUUUUCUGUAGGAUCUUAUAAGCACACCCUCUAUGUGUUCCUGGAGUUUGCGCUACUGUUUGUGAUUGGACUAAUGUAUGCAUAUUUGACUGUCAAUUACCUUUAUGGUUCCUAUCUACACUGGCGGAUAUAAUUGAGCUUUGUCGGAAAAUUACACUGUGUAGCUAGGUAAAAAAAAAUUAUUUUUAUGUAUAUAUAUUACAUAUUGACACUUCUUGGCUUUUUCGUGAAUUUACUUCUUUAUAUUUUGACACCACUUAGUGAAAAUUCUGGUUCUGCCACUGCCUAUCUACAUAGGAUUUACCUGGAGAAGCAUGGAAGAUGCAGUUACUGGGUGUAGCUUGUUUGUCACUUGCCUGCUAAAAUGGAGGCGAUUGAAGUUAGUGUAAAGCUACAGGCAAAUGCAUGUUCAUCUUGCUCGUUCUUUUUAGGAGCUGUUUGAAGUUCAAAUUUGUAAAUGCUACAGUGGAGUUAGUAGCCGAAGAAAUAAUUUCACAUAAUCGGAAGAUAUAUGUUUUUUAGCAUUGGGACACUUUAUUUCUUUUGUAAUUAACUAUGAAAUUCUAUAUAAUAAUUGAUUAUUUUCGGAUUA